AUAUCAAUAAGCGGAGGAAAAGAAACCAACAGGGAUUGCCCCAGUAACGGCGAGUGAAGCGGCAAGAGCUCAAAUUUGAAAUCUGGCCUCCCCCGGGGGCCCGAGUUGUAAUUUGCAGAGGAUGCUUCGGGUGCGGCCGCCGUCUAAGUUCCUUGGAACAGGACGUCAGAGAGGGUGAGAAUCCCGUCUUGGGCGGGCGGUCCGCGCCCGUGUGAAGCUCCUUCGACGAGUCGAGUUGUUUGGGAAUGCAGCUCUAAGCGGGUGGUAAAUUUCAUCUAAAGCUAAAUAUUGGCCGGAGACCGAUAGCGCACAAGUAGAGUGAUCGAAAGGUUAAAAGCACCUUGAAAAGGGAGUUAAACAGCACGUGAAAUUGUUGAAAGGGAAGCGCUUGCGGCCAGACUCGGGGGCGGGGUUCAGCGGGUGCUCGUCGCCCGUGUACUCCUCGUCUCCCGGGCCAGCAUCAGUUUCGACGGCCGGUCAAAGGCCCCCGGAAUGUGUCGUCUCUCGGGACGUCUUAUAGCCGGGGGUGCAAUGCGGCCCGUCGGGACUGAGGAACGCGCUCCGGCUCGGAUGCUGGCGUAAUGGCCGUAAGCGGC
rnacentral:rRNA from 2 species